rnacentral:rRNA from 1 species
AAUACCGUAUACGCCCUACGGGGGAAAAAUUUAUUGCUAUUAGAUGAGCCUAUAUUAGAUUAGCUAGUUGGUGGAGUAAUAGCCUACCAAGGCAAUGAUCUAUAGCUGAUCUGAGAGGAUGAUCAGCCACACUGGAACUGAGAUACGGUCCAGACUCCUACGGGAGGCAGCAGUGGGGAAUAUUGGACAAUGGGCGAAAGCCUGAUCCAGCCAUGCCGCAUGAGUGAAGAAGGCCUUUGGGUUGUAAAGCUCUUUUAGUGAGGAAGAUAAUGACGGUACUCACAGAAGAAGUCCUGGCUAACUCCGUGCCAGCAGCCGCGGUAAUACGGAGAGGGCUAGCGUUAUUCGGAAUUAUUGGGCGUAAAGGGCGCGUAGGCGGAUUAGUAAGUUAAAAGUGAAAUCCCAAGGCUCAACCUUGGAAUUGCUUUUAAAACUGCUAAUCUAGAGAUUGAAAGAGGAUAGAGGAAUUCCUAGUGUAGAGGUGAAAUUCGUAAAUAUUAGGAGGAACACCAGUGGCGAAGGCGUCUAUCUGGCUCAAAUCUGACGCUGAGGCGCGAAGGCGUGGGGAGCAAACAGGAUUAGAUACCCUGGUAGUCCACGCUGUAAACGAUGAAUGUUAAAUAUGGGAAGUUUUACUUUCUGUAUUACAGCUAACGCGUUAAACAUUCCGCCUGGGGACUACGGUCGCAAGAUUAAAACUCAAAGGAAUUGACGGGGACCCGCACAAGCGGUGGAGCAUGUGGUUUAAUUCGAUGCAACGCGAAAAACCUUACCACUCCUUGACAUGGAAAUUAUACCUA